AGAUCAAAUUGUUGGUCGUGCCUUGGUACGUACUGGCAUUAUUGGUUUCUCCUUUCUGAAGAACUACGAUGUCAUUAAUUUGGUGUCAUGGGGAAUCAGGACUGUUACUUUGAAAAAAUUAGAGUGUUUAAAGCAGGCUCGCGCUUGAAUACAUUAGCAUGGAAUAAUGAAAUAGGACGUUCGAACCUAUUUUGUUGGUUUCUAGGAUCAACGUA
rnacentral:rRNA from 1 species